GAGUUUGAUCCUGGCUCAGGAUGAACGCUAGCGGCAGGCUUAAUACAUGCAAGUCGAACGGUAACAUGAGAGCUUGCUCUUGAUGACNAGUGGCGCACGGGUGCGUAACGCGUAUGCNACCUACCUUUUACUGGGGGAUAGCCNGGAGAAAUUCUGAUUAAUACCCCAUAGUACUGUAAUGUAGCAUUACAUAGCAGUUAAAGAUUUAUUGGUAAAGGAUGGGCAUGCGUGACAUUAGUUAGUUGGUAAGGUAACGGCUUACCAAGACGAUGAUGUCUGGGGGUUCUGAGAGGAAGGUCCCCCACACUGGUACUGAGACACGGACCAGACUCCUACGGGAGGCAGCAGUAGGGAAUAUUGGUCAAUGGACGCAAGUCUGAACCAGCCAUGCCGCGUGCAGGAUGACAGCUUUCUGAGUUGUAAACUGCUUUUAUAUAGGAACAAAGAGGCCAUGCGUGGCAAGUUGCGUGUACUAUAUGAAUAAGCACCGGCUAACUCCGUGCCAGCAGCCGCGGUAAUACGGAGGGUGCAAGCGUUGUCCGGAUUUAUUGGGUUUAAAGGGUGCGUAGGUGGUUUUUUAAGUCAGUGGUGAAAGCCUACAGCUUAACUGUAGAGGUGCCAUUGAUACUGGAGAACUUGAGUAUGGACGAGGUAGGCGGAAUUUGUGGUGUAGCGGUGAAAUGCAUAGAUACCACAAAGAACACCGAUAGCGAAGGCAGCUUACUGGACCAUAACUGACACUGAGGCACGAAAGCGUGGGGAGCGAACAG
rnacentral:rRNA from 1 species